rnacentral:lncRNA from 1 species
CAAUCCUUUGCGUUAGGAAGAGUCGGGCUGAAGGCCGGAGAAUUAGGAGGGCGGAUUGGGCAUCGCCCCAUCCAGCUGCUGGCAGCGGACGACAGCCGGCCGGCUCGCCGCGCGGAACUCUGGCGAGCGCACUGGAAGCACACAAGUACAUACAGACGCGCGCCCAGCCGGCGCUAUACUGUGAAGAGCUAAUCAUUGCAGAGUUUUGGAAGAUUCUGACGUGCAAUUAAAAAGAUUUUUAAAG